rnacentral:tRNA from 1 species
UCCCUGGUGACCUAGUGAUUAAGGAUUCAGUGUUGUCACUGCUGUAACUCAGGUUCAAUUCCUGGCCCAGGAA